rnacentral:misc_RNA from 1 species
UCCGGGGGCCGCCGCGGUGGCGCCGCCGCCCAAGAUCUCGCCGCCGUGGUCCGACCUGUACCACAACCCCCACCACCACCAGCACGCGCACCACCACCACCCGCACCAGCUGCACCACGCGGCCGUGCAGCAGCAGCAGCACCACCCGCAGCAGCACCACGGCCAGCCGCACCAGCCGCCCCCGCCGCCGCCCCACCCGCACCAUACCCACCACCACCAGCACCACCAGCACCACAACCACCACCAAGCCCAGCACCCGCACGCCCACCAGGGCUCUCCUCACCUCGACCCCAGCAUGAGUUCCUAUUUCGCCAACUCGUACAUGCCCGACCUGCGCAACGGCGGCGUCGUGCCCGCGGAGCACCCGCACGCGCACUACGGCGCCGCCGUGCAGCAAGGCCCCGGAGGCGGCGCCGACCCCAGCUCGGGGGCGGGCGCCGCCUCGUGGGGCGGCGGCGGCGGCGGCGCCGGGGCGCAGCAGCCGCCUCAGGGCAUGCCAUACCCGCGCUUCCCUCCCUACGACCGUAUGGACAUCCGGAGCGCAGCCUACUACGGCGCGCAGCAGUCCGGCGGCGGCGGCGGCCUCGACGGCUCGCCCGGGGGCGGCGGCGGCAACGGGGGCGGCGGGGGCGGAGGCUACCGCUCGGGUUCCCCCAUGGGUGGUGGCGGGCAGACCCCCGUCGUGUACGCGAGCUGCAAGCUCCAGGCGGCGGCGGCCGCGGCGGCCGCGGCGGCGGCGGGGAACGGGGGCGGGGCGGGCGGCGGGGGCAGCCCGCCGCUGGACGUGCCGCCCCACCAGCACCAGCACCACGCGCACCACGCGCCGCCCCACCUGCAGCAGCAGCAGCAGCAGCAGCAGCAGCUGUACGCCGACCCGGCGCCGCAGCAGCAGCAGCAGCAGCAGCCGCCGCCGACGCAGCAGCCGCCGCCGGUGCCGCCCCCGCACCAGCACCAGCCUCCGCUGGGCGCCGGCGUCCCGCCCCCCGGCCACCAGCACCAGCACCAGCACCCGCAGCAGCAGCAGCAGCCGCCCCCGCAGCAGCACAACGGCAGCCCCGCCAACACGCUGCCCAGCCCGCUCUACCCCUGGAUGCGAAGCCAGUUCGAGCGCAAGCGCGGCCGGCAGACGUACACGCGCUACCAGACGCUCGAGCUGGAGAAGGAGUUCCACUUCAACCGCUACCUGACGCGCCGCCGGCGCAUCGAGAUCGCGCACGCGCUCUGCCUCACCGAGCGCCAGAUCAAGAUCUGGUUCCAGAACCGCCGCAUGAAGUGGAAGAAGGAGAACAAGUCCAAGCCCGACGCCGGCCAGAACGGGGACGGCAACGCCGGCUCCGACAUCACCCCGCAGACGUCGCCCCAGUGAGCGGGCCGCGCGCCCACCACCCUCCGCCACGCACCUCCGGCCUCCGCACAGAGGAAUUCGCCGGAAGGACUCCCUCCCUCCCCCCGCCCCGCCCCGACCCCUCUCAGAAGCUGUUCCCGCAGAAAAGUAUUAUGACGUCCACCCUCAUGUGCCCCCGAGAAAUUUUGUGGCUGUCCCUCCCCCAUAACCCCCAUACAUCGUUAGAGAAAGGAACCUUUUUACUCAGAGCGGCAGCCUUUUUUUUUUUUGCAAUUACACAGCUGUGCGUGCGAGUGUGUGCUAAAUUAUAUAUAUAUACAUACAUAUACGCGUAUAGUCACUAUAUUUAAGAAAGCAGCGCUUGAAGGGUAGCAAGAGGAGACAGUGAACAAAAUUUGAAAAUAUAUAUAUAUAUAUUAUAAAUGUGCUAAAAUUUUGACAAGUCCAAUGUAAAUAGUCACUAAGCAUAUAUUCAAACUGUUUUCUGUGCGUUUCUAGACGUGUGCGUGUAAGCGCUUUUAAAUUAGGAACUUGGCUGUAAAUUGGAUGUGGCGUUUAUGGAACAAUUUGUUUUCAGACGCAAGCUCAGACGAAGAGGAACGUCGACACUGUAGCUCAAAGGAUGCUAGCAGAUUCAACCUCUUCAGUUAACAACCUGGGCAUAUGGGAGGCACAUCCCAAUUUCUUUUAAUGCAUCGCAUCUAAGCUCACUGUCAUACAUUUCAUAAAAUCCGUGUAAAAAAGAGAGGAAAAAAUCAAAAGAACACACGAUUUCAGCAUCCAAGUAGAAAAGCAAGUAUAAUAACAAGCUUAGUAUCACGAGCUAACUUUAUUCUAGGAAAAACAAACGACAGAUGUGCUUGUGUUAACAGUAGAUGAAACGCUACAGUAAAUGUUGUCACAACCUUUUUGCCACAUGCCAAUGUGAUGCAGCUAGAAGAACCUAUCCCUUUUACAACUGAACGCUGAGAAUACGUUUUGCAUUGCCCCCUUUUUUUUAAAAAAAAAAAGAGAGAAAAAAUGAAAGUGACUUCUUCAGUGGAGCGACUGACUGUUUUUGAUCUGCCAAAAUGUGACGAAAGAAGAAGGGUAACCAUGUGUUGUAGCGAAACACACGUUUAGCGCUCUGACUGUAAUGCGGUCUCCGUUAAAAACCUCAGAAAUGAGAUUUUUUCGAAGAGAGGAAGACCUACGAGAGAGUCCUCUAAGUGGAUAAUUGAAAGAAGGCUGCGUGGUUGGUCUGCGCAGAUCUCCGACAAUUUCAUGACUAGUCGCAACGAGCGAUGAAUGUGUGCAGAUGCGCCGCCGAUGGUCCAGUAUUUUCAAGCUUUGAAAGUGCUUAGCUGUGUGUGUGUGUAUGCGUGUGCAUCGAAGCUCUGCAGUGUUAUCGUAUUAAUGUAGGAGGUAAAGAAAAAUUGCGAGCAUCGUAUUACUGGUGAUCAGGAAGUGAGUUAAUCGAGUGAAAGUUGCCAAAAGUGAUGUUGCUAAUUGUUUCCUUGGUCGUGUGGCAGUAGUAAUGUUUCGCCCAGUUAUGAGAGUCAACACCAUCGUUCCCUGAAGGGUCGCUGCCAUCGCCAGUCUGCAACCCCAAAACGUCCUGCCCAUCUUCAGCGGGAGAGAGGUCCAUCUACAUUGCCCUCCCUUCCCCCCCAACCCCCCAUCCCACGUACGUGCAGGAAACCUCUGGGCCAUGAAACGUCUACACGACACCAGUCUAUGAAGUGGCAGAUCAGAAGACAUUGAGGUUCACAGGCGUACGCCGUACCGUGUAAGAACAGACAAGCUCUGCAGACUUUCGUCGGAAAGAUGAACAAGGAAACGAUAUACGUAAGAAGGAGUCUGUAACAAAACUUGCACACACUUUUUUGUGUAAGAUUGAAACUGGUAUACGUAAUAUAAAAUGACGUAAACUAUUUCUGGUCCUAUAUGAAACUGUAGAAUACGUCUUUAUACACCAAUGGAAUAGCAUACAUAUGUUUCGUACAGAAGUUUUGAGUGUUUCGAUAGGUUUAAACUAAUUUAUAGCAAGAAAUAUGUGCUGUGCUAAAAUACGUACUACUGAUAUUAACAAAAAAGAACACUUUUUUAAGAGGAAGGUAUUCUCAGAACAUAUUUCAUAUUCCAUAGAAAGUAAUGGAAAGUAUUUGUCUUUACUAUUAACCAUUGAUGUGUAUUUGUUAAAGUCUACACACUAAAAUUUGGGACAACCGAUUCAGAGAUUAUUGUAUCAAUUCUGCUGAAAACACCACAGCAUCGGUAGUCAUCAAAUGAGUGUUGUUUGUCGAUUUAUUUUACUUGAAUUCAUUAUUGUAAUUCAUCGUAAUUUUUGUAUGAUAAGUAUUGUUUCGAAAGAAUGAGAAUAUCCUAUAUAAGUAUACAUACAUAUAUAAACAGUCACAUCGCGUUCAAUAUUAUUAUAUAGUAUAUUAAAUUGAAGUAACUAAACAUAAAUAUUCACAGAAGUUCGAACACUUGAGUCUUGCGGUUCAAUUUCACCAGAAGAAAACAGUACUACUAUUCAUUUCUCAGACAUUAUAAGUAAGCAUUAAACGUUGACUGUAGUUUGUGAAAAUUACAUAAAACAAUUCAGAAAUGGGUCCUUGUAACUUUUCGUAGUGUAAAGAUAUAUUUAAAAGUCUUGUGCGUGUGUGAGUUAAUUUUUUGUAGUUAACUGUACAAAAGUAAUAAUAAUAAAUUAAUAUA